GACAGCUGUGAUAGCGUGCCAAGCACUGCAUUAGGGACUAGGGGUGGGGAUGAUGAAGGCAGGGGCUGCUCCUGUAGCUGAGAUCUGGGGUUGACCUUCGGAGUCAGUGUGAGGAGGUCAGAGAAUGACCGAUUUGGGUUUUAGCCUACUAACUGAUCACUGAGAGCAACCCCAUGAACAUGCUAAGCAGGAUUAAAUUUAUCAGUGUUGGGACAGCUCUGUGGAGUAGCUGGAGCCAUCCCUGCGUUUGCCGCCGGGGUUAGGCUCAGAGGAGGAAUGCAACUUCUCAGAGAUUUAUAGCCAGCUUGUGACAUAGCAUGGAGUUGGUGGUCUGCUAUUACAGAACCAUGGGAUUAAAAGUUUCAUAUUGGAAGUGCAGUGUGAGUGGAAGAAAGACCUUCAUUCUGGAGGAUGCUCUGCUUGGCCUGGAUGCUGCCCAUCAGAAGCCCCAGCAAGACUGUUUUCAGCAGGAAUUCCCCAGGUUUGAUGACAUCAUUCUGCUCGCUGUCCCAGUACUGAGUGUCCUCCAAGCCUCACUUUUCCCCCUGCGGUCCGGCAGAGAAUGGUGGCGUCACCCUAGAGCGAGGAUUUGCAGGAUUCCUCUGCUUGCUCUUCACAGUCCCUGAAGGAUUUUGUUAGUUCUCCAUUACUUUUGUUACCUGAGACCCAUCUUUUCAUCCUGUUCCUCCUCUUCCUUGACGACCUGGGAUGUUUCCACACUGAGACAAAGAGGAAGAGACACAUCUAAGCAAUUCUCUACAGAUAGUCUCACUCAUCUCUGUCCUGAGUUCUCCUUGUGACAAGUCCAAAAGCUUGGCCACAGUCCUGAGGCAAAAAGUUUCAUGGAAACUGGUCUCUUGGAGUCUUUGGCAUCCCAUAACAUGGAUGUGGUCCAGAUAUGUCCUUGCAAUAGUCGUGAAGGGUUUAGUGUGCUUUCUUUCAAUAUUGUUUUUAUUAUAAGUGCCUCCAAGGAAUGAUUUGACAAAUAGCUAAGUUAGAUUGAACAUUGCUUCCUGGCCUCUACCAGUGUUCCAAUAUCCUAGGAAAUUGUUGAGCUGACCUUGGGCUUUGAAUUUCGUAAGAAUGUUACUUAUUCAGACAAAAUGCCUCCAGUGUUGAAAGAGAGAUAGUGAAAGAAAUCAGGCAUUGCAGUUUACUGGUUAAGAGUAGAAAUCUCAGAACAAGUUCUACAAAAUAAACUUGGAAUUCUCACUACAGUCAGGUAUGGCAGACUACAUUACAUAUUAAAAGAAAGUUGGUGGGCUCCUCUGUUAAAUGGAGGUUCCCUAUGGAUACUUAGAAUAACAACCAAGUCACACCCAUAUGCAGGAAUUUACAAUGGUCUAGGAAAAAGGAGGGUUGUGGUUUAAGAAGGAACUAGAGUAAAUACUUAGAAUAACAGCCAAGUCACUUCCAUAUACAGAAAUUUACAAUGGCCUAGGGAGAAGGUGGAUUAUACGAUAGACUAGAAUUGGAACUAUAGCUAGGGCGUGAAACCCUUGCCCCUGGCUUCUAAGAAUAAGCUGACCUUAGGUAGGUAUGAUUUUUAUCUCAGUUGUAAACACUGCCUGGUUCUUGCUAGCUUUUAUGUAUACAUUCCUCUGUUUUGUGUCAUUAUGCAUCAGAUGACUUCAAUGUAUCUUGGCUGAUGUGUCACCUGACUUCCUUGUUUUCUUCUGUAAUAUAAGUCUAAUGCUUGCUUUGAGACAUUACAUUCAGAUUCAACACUCU
rnacentral:lncRNA from 1 species